GUUUUUAUUGACAACGAAGUCGAGGGCCAGAUAAAAUAUUUGUUUUCUGUUUAUCUCUUGUUCUUAUUGAUUAAUUCAUGAGAAUGGCGUCAGCUGGAAGAGGAAAAGCAAGAACAAAACAGGCAAAAAAACAUGAAAUAGCGGAAAGGGUGAGAUAACUAAUACAUUUGUACAUUCAUCGUGAUCAGGUGAUUUGCAAAAAUAGUGUUUUUUUUUAAAUUCCUGGAUAAGAAGCAAUAUGAAAUCUACGAAAAUUAAGCAACCACAAAUUCUUUAAAUUUCAGUGGAGUUUGAAAAUACUGUAAACAUGUGAACAUUUAUUUCUAUUAAGUUGCAAACAACAAUUUUAUUCCUAAUUUUAUUAAAUCAGGUUCAAGAGAUUCAAAUGAGGCAGAAGAAUUGGAUGGAACAAAGAGAAGUAGCUUUGAAGAAAAAAGUAAAUUCUGAUGGGAAAUCAGCAACAGGUACAAUUAAUUUAUUAAUAAGUUUUUCUCAUUGUGGAUGGCUAUAUCAAACUACUAGGCUAGUUAAACUUAAAGCUGACAUGAAUUCAUAAAUACGCAUAAUUUCCCUUUUAUCCCUGACUAUCGCCAUCUAUUGUAAUGCUCAUGGCAACUUGUUAAAACACAGGUUCAUAAGUCACUAUUGUUGUAUCACAGUAAAAAUUUUUAGUGCCACUGACAGUAAAAUUGCCAAAGUAAAAUCAACCUCUUUUAAUAUAAAGAUAAUUAUGUUAGAAAGUAACUGGUAAUUUUAGUAUGAAAAGUAUACAGUUUUGUAAAUGUAAUAGGUAUUAAAUGCAUGCAUGUGUUAAUGAAAACUUUGCAUUCACUCAGACAGGUAAAUUUAACGUCAAACACUUAAUUUAAUUUGUCUCAGUUAUUAAAGCAAAAUGAGAACUUUUGAGUAAAGUUUUGUUAUUCAAAAUCUUUAGUUGAAAAGAAACCUGAAACUAAAUUUGCACCAUCACCAAAACCAACUAAAACCACAGCAGAAAACAUUACAUCUACCUCAAACCAUCAAAUGUCUAAAGAAAGGUUCAAAUCUUGGAUGAUUGCCAAAGAAAGAAAAGGCAAGAUGGAUCAUGGAGACUAUGAGGAGGAAGACAGUGCAGACGUACUCAAAGUCUCAAGUUCAAGGACACCUGGUUAUGCGAGUCCAGAGCCAGAGUGGGAAGAAGAAGAAACAAGUUACAAAAGUUAGUACUAAUAGUACAAUGUACAAAAUGUCUUCAUUUGAUAGUAAAUGCAAAGGUAUACAAUGUAUUGCUGUAUUAAUUAGAAUUUUAUGAUUUAUUUCGAUUUAGUGGCAACAUUAAAUCUUUUAGAAAGCCAAGCAAAGAUUCUGAAACUAAUUGAAGAACUUAAAAAUUUUGACAAUUUGAUGACACUUACUGUCAGUUAUUUACUAUAGACAGGCUAGUAUAGUUCAUGGUUCUUUCAUCUUGAGAAGUUAUAUAUCUAUAAUAUAACAUUUAUUCAUGAAAAAGAUAUAUGGAUAAAGGGUGCAUAUACUGAUUGCUAUUAUUAGUUCAACAGUAAUUAAUUGAAGCAAAUGAUGAGCUGAUUGAAAUUUACUGGAAGGGCUUAAUUUAAUGACAAAAUUUUGUCUGUAAACAAUAAUUAGUUAAAAGAAUAUAUGUUAACGACUGAUUAUAGAGUGCCGGUAUCUUAAUUACAGACUACCAACAGUCUCAGAUCAUGAAUCAGAUGAUGUCAGCAGAGGACUUUGAUGCCAGAGCGGACAGCAUUCUGACACGUGUAAAAUAUGGAUUGGACAAACAGGACAGCUCAAGCAACAAUAACAAUUCAGGCGCCUCAGAUCUAUCAGGCCACUACUGCCCAGUGUGCAGAAAACUCAUGGUAUACAUCAUAAAACAUUAAUUUCUAUAUUAUUCUUGAAUGGGAAUUCCAUUGAACUAGAUAAUGUUUAACUGUGCUUUACCUUGAAUUCAAAAAAGUUACAGAAGCUUAAAUUUCAAGUUCUGUUUGUAGAGAGGAGACCAGAACUCUCCACUGAUUUAUGUGCCAUGUGGACACAACACCUGCAUUUCCUGUUCAAAGGGAAGAGAACUCUGUCCGUGCUGUGGAUCCCAGGCUUCCUCCAAAACUAGAAAUAUUAUGUUGAUGCAGAUUAUAGAGGUCAGC
rnacentral:misc_RNA from 1 species